rnacentral:rRNA from 1 species
CGUUGAUGAUUUAGUGAGGCCUUCUUCCUGGCGGUCUUGGACUGGGCUCUCCCGUGGUCUCCGUGCCGCGGGGGACUCGCCAUGACCAGCCGGAAAGAUGUCCAAACUUGAUCAUUUAGAGGAAGUAAAAGUCGUAACAAGGUUUCCGUAGGUGAACCUGCGGAAGGAUCAU